GCUGGGUAUGGUGGUGCCCACCUGUAGUCCCAGCUGCUUGGGAAGCUGAGGCAGGAGGAUCGCUUGAGCCUGGGAGGUCAAGGUUGCAGUGAGCCAAGAUUGUGCCACUGCACUCCAGCCUGGGUGAAAAAGUGAGACCCUGUCUCAA
rnacentral:SRP_RNA from 2 species